rnacentral:rRNA from 1 species
GUAGUCAUAUGCUUGUCUCAAAGAUUAAGCCAUGCAUGUCUAAGUAUAAGCAACUAUACGGUGAAACUGCGAAUGGCUCAUUAAAUCAGUUAUCGUUUAUUUGAUAGUACCUUACUACAUGGAUAACCGUGGUAAUUCUAGAGCUAAUACAUGCUAAAAACCCCAACUUCGGAAGGGGUGUAUUUAUUAGAUAAAAAACCAAUGCCCUUCGGGGCUCCUUGGUGAAUCAUAAUAACUUCACGAAUCGCAUGGCCUUGCGCCGGCGAUGGUUCAUUCAAAUUUCUGCCCUAUCAACUUUCGAUGGUAGGAUAGUGGCCUACCAUGGUAUCAACGGGUAACGGGGAAU